CUGUCUUUGUAGAGCUCCAACAGGGACAUCACUGAAGAGCUCGUCUAUGGGUUCAACUACUCAACCUCCCUCAACCCGGGGAAGGUGCAUCAGGCCACAGACACCAUCCAGGGCCGGACUCAGUGUGCAGCUGAGUUCACUCUGAGACUGUGUGAGGCCCGCAGGAUGCGAGCCCUGCAGAAAGGCAUGUUGGAGAAGGUGGCUGUGUCCCUGGUACCAGCUUUCCCGGCUGGAAACAUCCCCCACAUCUGCACCCUGAUGCCCACCCACCCAGCCUUCUCCAGAGCCCAGUGGUUCCUGGACGAGCUGUUAACUAGGGCCACCGCUUCUGUGAUGGGAACCUGGCUGGACCGGGUACAAUAUUUGGGCAUCCCCUCCUUUCUCCCUGGUUCCUCCUGAAGCAGGCCUUGGUGCUGCACAGCCGCCCUGCCCCACACCCGGUGGCCUCGUCAGAAGUCUUUGGGUGGAGCUGGCGCAUCUAGAGCCCACUGAGGCACAGUGGGAAGAACCACCUCCAGAGCUCAAGCCCACUCCAGAGCCGGAGGAAGGGCCUGCUCCUGGGCUAGAGCCUGGUCCAGCUGUGGGGGUGCUGGAGCCAUCUGGACCACCAGCUCUGAUCCGAAUCCCAACAGCAGAGCCAGCUCCACCCCCAACAACUGACUACCCCUGGGCUGGGACCCCUAAGCACCUUAUAAGGGAGGAGAAGCUUAACAUCCUGACCUUCCCUUCAAGGCUGGUGGCCGAGCAACUGACAGCAAUGGAUGCGGAGCAGUUCAUGAAGGUGCUGCCCCACCAGUGCCUGGGCUCCGUCUGGUCCCAGUGGGCCAAGCCCGGCAAGGAGCACGUGGCCUCCACUGUCAGUGCCACCGUCAGGCAGUUCAAUCGUGUGGCCACCUGUGUGAUCACCACCUGCCUUGGGGACCCAAGCAUGAUGGCCCGGGACAGGGCCAACGUGGUGGCGCUCUGGAUG